rnacentral:misc_RNA from 1 species
GAUGAAGAACGCAGUGAAAUGCGAUACUUGGUGUGAAUUGCAGAAUCCCGUGAACCAUCGAGUCUUUGAACGCAAGUUGCGCCCGAAGCCGUCAGGCCGAGGGCACGCCUGCCUGGGCGUCACACGCCGUUGCCCCCCCCGCGCCCCGCACCCAACUCUUUGGGAGCGACCGCGGGGCGGGCUGAUGAUGGCCUCCCGUGCGCUCCGCCGCGCGGUUGGCCCAAAUACCGAGUCCCCGGCGACGUGCGCCACGACGAUCGGUGGUUGAGAGACCUCUGUCGCAAGUCGUGCGCGCCCGUCGCGUCACGCGGGCUCGCAUAGCGCCUCGCGCCGCACCCGGUGCGGAGCUUUCAACGCGACCCCAGGUCAGGCGGGGUUACCCGCUGAAUUUAAGCAUAUCAAUAAGCGGAGGA